GACGAACGCUGGCGGCGUGCUUAACACAUGCAAGUCGAACGGAAAGGCCCUGCUUUUGUGGGGUGCUCGAGUGGCGAAAGGGUGCGUAACACGUGAGUAACCUGCCCUUGACUUUGGGAUAACUUCAGGUAACUGGGGCUAAUACCGGAUAGGAGCUCCUGCUGCAUGGUGGGGGUUGGAAAGUUUCGGCGGUUGGGGAUUGACUCGCGGCUUAUCAGCUUGUUGGUGGGGUAGUGGCUUACCACGGCUUUGACGGGUAGCCGGCAUGCGUAGGUGACCGUCCCCAAUGGGCCAGCGGAACAGCCCGGACCCGAACGGUGGUUAGUAGGGGUAAAUAUUGUAAGAUGGUGGGAAGAGUGUUGAAGCAACGCCGCGUGCGGGAAGACCAGUUGCGGGUAGUAAACAGCUUUCGCCUGUGAAGGAGCGUGAGUGACGGUAAUGGGAGAAGAAGCACCGGCUAACUACGUG
rnacentral:rRNA from 1 species